GACGAACGCUGGCGGCGUGCUUAACACAUGCAAGUCGAGCGGUAAGGCCCUUUCGGGGGUACACGAGCGGCGAACGGGUGAGUAACACGUGGGUGACCUGCCCUUAGCUCUGGGAUAAGCCUGGGAAACUGGGUCUAAUACCGGAUAUGAUUCCAUGACGCAUGUUGUGGGGUGGAAAGCCUUGUGCGGCUAGGGAUGGGCCCGCGGCCUAUCAGCUUGUUGGUGGGGUGAUGGCCUACCAAGGCGACGACGGGUAGCCGGCCUGAGAGGGCGACCGGCCACACUGGGACUGAGACACGGCCCAGACUCCUACGGGAGGCAGCAGUGGGGAAUCUUGCGCAAUGGGCGAAAGCCUGACGCAGCGACGCCGCGUGAGGGAUGACGGCCUCGGUUGUAAC
rnacentral:rRNA from 1 species